rnacentral:rRNA from 1 species
UACGAAGGGGGCUAGCGUUGCUCGGAAUCACUGGGCGUAAAGGGCGCGUAGGCGGAUCUUUAAGUCGGGGGUGAAAGCCCAGGGCUCAACCCUGGAAUUGCCUUUAAGACUGCAUCGCUUGAAUUGUGGAGAGGUAAGUGGAAUUCCGAGUGUAGAGGUGAAAUUCGUAGAUAUUCGGAAGAACACCAGUGGCGAAGGCGACUUACUGGACACAUAUUGACGCUGAGGUGCGAAAGCGUGGGGAGCAAACAGG